rnacentral:rRNA from 1 species
GAUGAACGCUGGCGGCGUGCCUAAUACAUGCAAGUCGAGCGAACGGACGGGAAGCUUUCUCCUCUGCUGUUAGCGGCGGACGGGUGAGUAACACGUGGAUAACCUACCUAUAAGACUGGGAUAAUUUCGGGAAACCGGAGCUAAUACCGGAUCAUAUUUUGAACCGCAUGGUUCAAAAGUGAAAGACGGUCUUGCUGUCACUUAUAGAUGGAUCCGCGCUGCAUUAGCUAGUUGGUAAGGUAACGGCUUACCAAGGCAACGAUGCAUAGCCGACCUGAGAGGGUGAUCGGCCACACUGGAACUGAGACACGGUCCAGACUCCUACGGGAGGCAGCAGUAGGGAAUCUUCCGCAAUGGGCGAAAGCCUGACGGAGCAACGCCGCGUGAGUGAUGAAGGUCUUCGGAUCGUAAAACUCUGUUAUUAGGGAAGAACAUAUGUGUAAGUAACUGUGCACAUCUUGACGGUACCUAAUCAGAAAGCCACGGCUAACUACGUG